rnacentral:misc_RNA from 1 species
CAGCGGCGGUAACUUCCC